CUCCACGUUGAGCUCUUUCUUCUUAAUGCAGCCAGUGCACUGAAGGAGGACAAGCUCGCUUCUUCCUUGCCCGGUUGUUCAGGGUGAAUCAUUAACCAAGCACUUGAGUGACAAACCAAAAUUGUUUGUUGAGUGCCUUCUGCAGGCUGCACGGACAGUUUGCCUUCUGCAGGAGGUAUGGUUUCCUUCUCUCACGGAAUGAAAGCACCACAGACCCCCUCUGCUCGCUGCUGUGCUUUAACCAGACCUGAACAGCACUUCAUGAACUGAAAUCAUUCUCUAGGAUGAUGACGACAUGCCAGUUCUCGGUAUAUGGAUAUGAGUCCUGAGAUCCCACACAUGGAUACACAGAAGGACUGCAUAAUGUGCUGAAGAUGGGGGAGAAGUUUGUUUUCCGCAGUGCCCUCGUGCCUGCGCAGCACUCGUGAUGCUGACGUUGAACCUGGGCUGUGUGG